GACGAACGCUGGCGGCGUGCUUAACACAUGCAAGUCGAACGGAAAGGCCCUGCUUUUGCGGGGUGCUCGAGUGGCGAACGGGGGAGAAACACGCGAGUAACCUGUCCUUGACUUUGGGAUAACUUUAGGAAACUGGGGCGAAUACCGGAUAGGAUCUACUGCUGCAUGGGGGGGGUUGGUAAGUUUCGGCGGUGUGGGAUGGAUUCGCGGCUUAUCAGCUUGUUGGGGGGGUAGGGGCUUACCAAGGUUUUGAAGGGUAGCCCGCCUGAGAGGGUGAACGGCGACAUGGGGCCUGCGAUACGGCCCAGAAUGCUACGGGAGGCAGUAGUGGAGAAUAUUGCACAAUGGGCGGACGCCUGAUGCAGCAACGCCGCGUGCGGAAUGCCGGCCUUCGGGUUGUAAACCGCUGUCGAAUGUGCCGAAGCGUGAGUGACGGUAAUGGGUAAAGAAGCACCGGCUAACUACGUG
rnacentral:rRNA from 1 species